rnacentral:rRNA from 1 species
CGUCUCCGUUGAUGAUUUUAGGUGCUUGCACUUGAAAGAUUUCACAUUGAGACGAGUGGCGAACUGGUGAGUAACACGUGGGUAACCUGCCCUUGAAGUAGGGGAUAACACUUGGAAACAGGUGCUAAUACCGUAUAACAACCAAAACCACCUGGUUUUGGUUUAAAAGACGGCUUCGGCUGUCACUUUAGGAUGGACCCGCGGCGCAUUAGCUUGUUGGUAAGGUAACGGCUUACCAAGGCGAUGAUACGUAGCCGACCUGAGAGGGUAAUCGGCCACAUUGGGACUGAGACACGGCCCAAACUCCUACGGGAGGCAGCAGUAGGGAAUCUUCCACAAUGGACGAAAGUCUGAUGGAGCAACGCCGCGUGAGUGAUGAAGGGUUUCGGCUCGUAAAACUCUGUUGUUGGAGAAGAACAGGUGUCAGAGUAACUGUUGACAUCUUGACGGUAUCCAACCAGAAAGCCACGGCUAACUACGUGCCAGCAGCCGCGGUAAUACGUAGGUGGCAAGCGUUGUCCGGAUUUAUUGGGCGUAAAGCGAGCGCAGGCGGUUUUUUAGGUCUGAUGUGAAAGCCUUCGGCUUAACCGGAGAAGUGCAUCGGAAACCGGGAGACUUGAGUGCAGAAGAGGACAGUGGAACUCCAUGUGUAGCGGUGAAAUGCGUAGAUAUAUGGAAGAACACCAGUGGCGAAGGCGGCUGUCUGGUCUGUAACUGACGCUGAGGCUCGAAAGCAUGGGUAGCGAACAGGAUUAGAUACCCUGGUAGUCCAUGCCGUAAACGAUGAGUGCUAAGUGUUG